rnacentral:rRNA from 1 species
AUCUGGCCUCAAAUCAGGUAGGGCUACCCGC